GUAAUGUAAUAAAGGCUUCAAGUUGAAACUUGUUGCAAAUAUUUUUAAUAAAAAUGUAAAUGUAAAGUUUUAGAAAUUACACAGUACAAUUACAAAAGCAACAUAAAUUAAUAGUGAUAAUAGUGAUGCAAUUAAGUUGUGGGGUGGAACAUGUAUACCAUAUACACUUAAAACUUAAUGAAUGUUCAUUAAAGUAUUUCACUUAGCCUACAACUUUACUCAAGAAACUCAGAAUUUUACUGUAAUAAAUACAUGUUAUCUUUUAAACAGCAUUAAAAGCAUCUAACUAGAAAACAUUGAUCAUGAGGUCACUGAACUUACCUAAAAUUUAUUUGAAAACAUUGAUUUAUGAAUAUCAUUGAUUUUAUAAAUCAGAUAUAUCAUAAUGAGAUUUAAUUGUAAGUAAGAACUUUUCUUAUAUAUUUUUUUAGUUACUUCAUCUAUGAAAGAAGAUUUCAUGCAUCAUUGCUCAAGCUUAAGAGUUCAUUGUUAGUAGGAUUUGAACCCUUGAUUUAUGUGUUAAAAAUCCAAAACAUGUAUGACUAACCAACUAUCCAUCUUUCAUUGAGAAAUCUGUAGUUUCAUAUCUUAUAUAUUACUUCUCUAACAUCCUGGCAUUCUUUUUUUGUUUAAGCUCAUUUCAGGUUGGAAUGGGUUAAAGUAACAUAUCAGAAAGAAACAAAAUUCAAAUCUUUUAACUUUUAUUUAUAUUAGUACACCAUGAUAUAAGGUUUCAAUUUUUUAAGAUGAUGAUCUGAAAUAUUUAGUUGUAAGUACUUUUGUAUCUUUGUCAACAUUAACUCCUUAUUUUCUAGAUUGACUCAAAAUCUUUUAUAUAAAAGCUUUUUUAAAGCAAUUUUUGCUUCUUCAAAUUUAUUUGUUCUUAAAAAUUACAAAACACAGUAAAAGUUUCCAUACAUUAAGAAAUUGUAGAGUUUUGAACAUAUAGUAUUCUUUAUAAAAAAUUAUACACACUCUACAUACUUGAUAAAUAUUUACUACUGCUAGGUGUGCUUGUAUUUUUUUUUUUCUACUUUUAAAUAAAGAUCGGUAUAAUUCAAAUGUUUAUUUCAUUUUGAUCUGUAACAAAUGUAUUUACUUACUUGUCAAUUGUAAUAACAACUUUGGCCUUAGAAGACUAAAAAAAAAAAAAAUUGAGUUGUUUAGCAUUGGAGGCUGGUUUUAUAUUAAAUAAUGUACACUUCAUCUUAUGUACAAUGAUAUUUACAGUUUCAGCGUCUUUUGUUAACCAUUCUUCUAUUGUUGUAGACGUUGAUGUAAAUAGUUACUUACAUUAAAGCUCAGUGAAAGGAAAUUUUGUUUUCAUUUUGAGAAUACAAUUAUUAAAUACAGAGAAGAGCUUACUAAAGUUUUGGUACUUGAAAAUUUAAGUGGUAGGCCAAGAGACGGGUUAAAGGUAAUUAAGUAAUAGGUUUGAAAGCAAAUAGGUUUCAGAUCUAAAGAAGUGGCAAAGGUAAAAAAAGUGGGUGGUCAAAAGAAGUGGUUAACCUAAAGAAGUCGUUUGUCUAAAAAAGUGGUUAAUGUAAAUAAGUGUCAAAUGUAAAAAGUGGUUGGUCUAAAGAAGUGAUAGGUCUAAAUAAAGUUGUUAAACUUAAAAAUUGUUAAGUCUAAUAGGUAACAGUAAUAUCAUUCUUUAUGAAAAGGUAAAAGUUAAAAAUAAUAAUUAAAAGCUUAAGAAACUGUUUCUAAUUUUUGCAUAAAGUCACC